CUGCGGCAGCCUAACACAUGCAAGUCGAGCGAGAUCUUCGGAUCUAGCGGCGGACGGGUGAGUAACGCGUGGGAACGUACCCUCUUCUGCGGGAUAGCCACUGGAAACGGUGAGUAAUACCGCAUACGCCCUUCGGGGGAAAGAUUUAUCGGAGGAGGAUCGGCCCGCGUUGGAUUAGGUAGUUGGUGGGGUAAUGGCCUACCAAGCCUACGAUCCAUAGCUGGUUUUAGAGGAUGAUCAGCCACACUGGGACUGAGACACGGCCCAGACUCCUACGGGAGGCAGCAGUGGGGAAUCUUAGACAAUGGGCGCAAGCCUGAUCUAGCCAUGCCGCGUGAGUGACGAAGGCCUUAGGGUCGUAAAGCUCUUUCGCCUGUGAUGAUAAUGACAGUAGCAGGUAAAGAAACCCCGGCUAACUCCGUGCCAGCAGCCGCGGUAAUACGGAGGGGGUUAGCGUUGUUCGGAAUUACUGGGCGUAAAGCGCACGUAGGCGGAUUGGAAAGUAUGGGGUGAAAUCCCAGGGCUCAACCCUGGAACGGCCUCAUAAACUUCCAGUCUGGAGUUCGAGAGAGGUGAGUGGAAUUCCGAGUGUAGAGGUGAAAUUCGUAGAUAUUCGGAGGAACACCAGUGGCGAAGGCGGCUCACUGGCUCGAUACUGACGCUGAGGUGCGAAAGUGUGGGGAGCAAACAGGAUUAGAUACCCUGGUAGU
rnacentral:rRNA from 1 species